AUGUUAAUGGUGAAGCAUUCACCAUGUGAAUCCUUGGAGAAGAAACAAUGUAACAGAAAACUAACAACAAUAACCGAAUCAGUUGGAGAAAUAUUGAACUCUUUCAUUGACAAGAAAAUAGAUUACAUGUAUGGUUUAUAUAUAAAGAUGCUUCCAAAGGAGCUUCUUUUGGUCCUUGUUACUGUUCCAGCUAAAAGACUAGCCACGUUAAAACCAUUCCAUCAAGACCCACAUCAUUGUUUGGUGCAACCACUGGUGAACUUUGCGGACAGUAAAUUGGUUGGUGAAACGGCCACGCACACUGACCAGCACAUUGAGUUUCUGAAUUCCCAACCCAAAUGUACGCGAAUUUGUGUUGUUUUCCGUUCACACGCGCACCGUAAAAAGAACCGUGUGUUCCACAC